AUUGAACGCUGGCGGCAGGCCUAACACAUGCAAGUCGAGCGGAUGAAGGGAGCUUGCUCCUGGAUUCAGCGGCGGACGGGUGAGUAAUGCCUAGGAAUCUGCCUGGUAGUGGGGGAUAACGUCCGGAAACGGGCGCUAAUACCGCAUACGUCCUGGGGGAGAAGGUGGGGGAUUUUCGGACCUCACGCUAUCAGAUGAGCCUAGGUCGGAUUAGCUAGUUGGUGGGGUAAAGGCCUCCCAAGGCGACGAUCCGUAACUGGUCUGAGAGGAUGAUCAGUCACACUGGAACUGAGACACGGUCCAGACUCCUACGGGAGGCAGCAGUGGGGAAUAUUGGACAAUGGGCGAAAGCCUGAUCCAGCCAUGCCGCGUGUGUGAAGAAGGUCUUCGGAUUGUAAAGCACUUUAAGUUGGGAGGAAGGGCAGUAAGUUAAUACCUUGCUGUUUUGACGUUACCAACAGAAUAAGCACCGGCUAACUUCGUG
rnacentral:rRNA from 1 species